UUUGAUCGAUCCCAGCCACAGCGGGCGGUCCGCCGGGCGGUCCUGUCCGUACGUCGCGAGCAGCGCCUGCGCCUC
rnacentral:antisense_RNA from 1 species